UGGGGAAUAUUGGACAAUGGGCGAAAGCCUGAUCCAGCCAUGCCGCGUGUGUGAAGAAGGUCUUCGGAUUGUAAAGCACUUUAAGUUGGGAGGAAGGGCAUUAACCUAAUACGUUAGUGUUUUGACGUUACCGACAGAAUAAGCACCGGCUAACUUCGUGCCAGCAGCCGCGGUAAUACGAAGGGUGCAAGCGUUAAUCGGAAUUACUGGGCGUAAAGCGCGCGUAGGUGGUUUGUUAAGUUGAAUGUGAAAGCCCCGGGCUCAACCUGGGAACUGCAUCCAAAACUGGCAAGCUAGAGUAUGGCAGAGGGUGGUGGAAUUUCCNGUGUAGCGGUGAAAUGCGUAGAUAUCGGAAGGAACAUCUGUGGCGAAGGCGGCUUCCUGGCUUCAGACUGACACUGAGGUGCGAAAGCGUGGGUAGCGAACAGGAUUAGAUACCCUGGUAGUCCCUGAGCGGGCUGGCAAGGCGCAU
rnacentral:rRNA from 1 species